AUGACUACUACACGUAUUCAAGAUGUAGCAAAAUCUUGUAGCUUUCCACACGGAGGCUACCUUUAUCCUAUGAAGCACCUUGGCAUCGAUGAUUUAGAAAAGCUAUUCUUGAAAAGGAUCUUUGACCAUGAAGAUGAUUACCCUUUUGAACUAAAAGAAGUUACUAGUUAUAUACUGAAGAAGUGUGAUGGCUUGCCAUUAGCUAUAGUCAAUAUAGCUAGCAUGUUGGCAACAAAACCAACAACAAAGAAUGAGUGGGGAAGGGUGCGACAUUCUCUUUGCUCUUCGUUCGAACAAGAUUCUGAGUUGGACGUGGUGAAACAUAUAUUUCUUCUUAGUUAUUAUGAUGUACCUCACUAUUUGAAGAUCUGUUUGUUGGACCUGAGUAUAUUCCCACAUGAUUUUGAGAUUUGCUGUGAGCGUCUGGUACAAAGAUGGAUGGCUGAAGGAUUUAUC
rnacentral:rRNA from 1 species